NNNNNUACCUGGCAGGGGAGAUACCAUGAUCACGAAGGUGGUUUUCCCAGGGCGAGGCUUAUCCAUUGCACUCCGGAUGUGCUGACCCCUGCGAUUUCCCCAAAUGCGGGAAACUCGACUGCAUAAUUUGUGGUAGUGGGGGACUGCGUUCGCGCUCUCCCCUG
rnacentral:snRNA from 1 species